CUUUCUUUGCUGGCGACCGGCGCACGGGUGAGUAACACGUAUCCAACCUGCCCUUUACUCGGGGAUAGCCUUUCGAAAGAAAGAUUAAUACCCGAUAGCAUAAUGAUUCCGCAUGGUUCAUUAUUAAAGGAUUCCGGUAAAGGAUGGGGAUGCGUUCCAUUAGGUUGUUGGUGAGGUAACGGCUCACCAAGCCUUCGAUGGAUAGGGGUUCUGAGAGGAAGGUCCCCCACAUUGGAACUGAGACACGGUCCAAACUCCUACGGGAGGCAGCAUG
rnacentral:rRNA from 1 species